rnacentral:rRNA from 1 species
UACGUAGGGGGCAAGCGUUGUCCGGAAUCAUUGGGCGUAAAGAGCGCGUGAGGCGCCCUGUAAGUCCGCUGUGAAAGUCAAGGGCUCAACCCUUGAAUGCCGGUGGAUACUGCAGGGCUAGAGUCCGGAAGAGGCGAGUGGAAUUCCUGGUGUAGCGGUGAAAUGCGUAGAUAUCUGGAGGAACACCGGUGGCGAAGGCGGCAUCUGGACCGGUAUUGAACG